rnacentral:rRNA from 1 species
GUCCAGACUCCUACGGGAGGCAGCAGUGGGGAAUAUUGCACAAUGGGGGAAACCCUGAUGCAGCAACGCCGCGUGAGUGAAGAAGUAUUUCGGUAUGUAAAGCUCUAUCAGCAGGGAAGAAGAUGACGGUACCUGAGUAAGAAGCCCCGGCUAACUACGUGCCAGCAGCCGCGGUAAUACGUAGGGGGCAAGCGUUAUCCGGAUUUACUGGGUGUAAAGGGAGCGUAGACGGUGAGACAAGUCUGAAGUGAAAGCCCGGGGCUCAACCCCGGGACUGCUUUGGAAACUGCCUGACUGGAGUGCUGGAGAGGCAAGCGGAAUUCCUAGUGUAGCGGUGAAAUGCGUAGAUAUUAGGAAGAACACCGGUGGCGAAGGCGGCUUGCUGGACAGUAACUGACGUUGAGGCUCGAAAGCGUGGGGAGCAAACAGGAUUAGAUACCCGUGUAC